UACGGGGGGGGCAAGCGUUGUUCGGAAUUACUGGGCGUAAAGGGAGCGUAGGUGGCCUUAUAAGUCAGUGGUGAAAUCUCUGGGCUUAACCCAGAAAUUGCCAUUGAUACUGUAGGGCUUGAGUACAGUUGCUGUGGGCGGAAUAUGACAUGUAGUGGUGAAAUACAUAGAGAUGUCAUAGAACACCGAUUGCGAAGGCAGCUCACAAAACUGUAACUGACACUGAGGCUCGAAAGUGCGGGGAUCAAACAGG
rnacentral:rRNA from 1 species